UACGGAGGAUCCGAGCGUUAUCCGGAUUUAUUGGGUUUGAAGGGUGCGUAGGCGGUUUGAUAAGUUAGAGGUGAAAUGUCGGGGCUCAACCCCGAAACUGCCUCUAAUACUGUUGGACUAGAGAAUAGUUGCGGUAGGCGGAAUGUAUGGUGUAGCGGUGAAAUGCUUAGAGAUCAUACAGAACACCGAUUGCGAAGGCAGCUUACCAAACUAUAUCUGACGUUGAGGCACGAAAGCGUGGGUAGCAAACAGG
rnacentral:rRNA from 1 species